GUAGGUGAACCUGCGGAUGGAUCAUUAUCACGUAUCCACGUAUCAACCAUUGUGAACUGUUGUUUUACCUCUGAUUAGUAUUGUGAAUGGACUUUCGGGUCUAUGCUUCUCAGUUGUAACUCACUAAACUUUUUUAUUAACAAUUUAAACCUUUAACUUUUAAACUUUGAACUGACUUAUUUUAUACUCUUCGGAGAUAAAAUUCAUUACGAAACAAAGAACAACUCUUAGCAACGGAUAUCUUGGUUCU
rnacentral:misc_RNA from 1 species